AUCGAACCCGCGACCUUCGCGUUAUUAGCACGACGCUCUAACCAACUGAGCUAAUGGGCCGGCUAGAAGGUUUUUCACAGUGGUAAAAGUCUGUCUUCGCUGUAUAUUACUAUUGAACCUGCAUCAAUAUAAUCUGAAGAUUCAAUUAAUAAAUCAUCAUUCAAUAUAUUUUUUGCAUUCUCGUUCGAAACUAUUCCUUGACAUCCGCAGCAAACAGAAUCCUGUAAAAAAAUAUUAAGCGUUACAAAGAAUAACAAUUGUUGACUUAUUAUGCAUGCACCAUAAACACACAAUCGCAAACAAGCGUACGGAAAUUAUUUUGUUUAUAUCAAGUAUUUGUAAGAAUAAUUAACUUACCAUGUUUAUGUAAGAAACAGAAUAGAUUAAUGGCAAAAUAUAUAUAUAUUGUAUUAUCACAAUGAAA